rnacentral:rRNA from 2 species
AGCGGCGGACGGGUGAGUAACACGUGGGUAACCUGCCCAUAAGACUGGGAUAACUCCGGGAAACCGGGGCUAAUACCGGAUAACAUUUUGAACCGCAUGGUUCGAAAUUGAAAGGCGGCUUCGGCUGUCACUUAUGGAUGGACCCGCGUCGCAUUAGCUAGUUGGUGAGGUAACGGCUCACCAAGGCAACGAUGCGUAGCCGACCUGAGAGGGUGAUCGGCCACACUGGGACUGAGACACGGCCCAGACUCCUACGGGAGGCAGCAGUAGGGAAUCUUCCGCAAUGGACGAAAGUCUGACGGAGCAACGCCGCGUGAGUGAUGAAGGCUUUCGGGUCGUAAAACUCUGUUGUUAGGGAAGAACAAGUGCUAGUUGAAUAAGCUGGCACCUUGACGGUACCUAACCAGAAAGCCACGGCUAACUACGUGCCAGCAGCCGCGGUAAUACGUAGGUGGCAAGCGUUAUCCGGAAUUAUUGGGCGUAAAGCGCGCGCAGGUGGUUUCUUAAGUCUGAUGUGAAAGCCCACGGCUCAACCGUGGAGGGUCAUUGGAAACUGGGAGACUUGAGUGCAGAAGAGGAAAGUGGAAUUCCAUGUGUAGCGGUGAAAUGCGUAGAGAUAUGGAGG